UACGGGGGGGGCAAGCGUUGUUCGGAAUUACUGGGCGUAAAGGGCUCGUAGGCGGCCAACUAAGUCAGACGUGAAAUCCCUCAGCUUAACUGGGGAACUGCGUCUGAUACUGGAUGGCUUGAGUUCGGGAGAGGGAUGCGGAAUUCCAGGUGUAGCGGUGAAAUGCGUAGAUAUCUGGAGGAACACCAAUGGCGAAGGCAGCUCGCUGGGACGGUACUGACGCUGAGACGCGAAAGCGUGGGGAGCAAACAGG
rnacentral:rRNA from 1 species